rnacentral:rRNA from 1 species
GACGAAGGAUGCAAGCGUUAUCCGGAUUCAUUGGGUUUAAAGGGAGCGUAGGCGGCCCUAUAAGUCAGUGGUGAAAUCUCUCGGCUUAACCGAGAAAUUGCCAUUGAUACUGUAGGGCUUGAGUACAGUUGCCGUUGGCGGAAUAUGACAUGUAGUGGUGAAAUACAUAGAGAUGUCAUAGAACACCGAUUGCGAAGGCAGCUAACGAAGCUGUAACUGACGCUGAGGCUCGAAAAGUGCGGGGAUCGAAACAGG